rnacentral:rRNA from 1 species
AGGGUUUGAUCAUGGCUCAGAACGUACGCUGGCGGCACGCCUAAUACAUGCAAGUCGAACGAAGUAGCAAUACUUAGUGGCAGACGGGUGAGUAACAUGUGGGUAUCUUCCCUUUGGUGAGGAAUAACACGAGGAAACUUGUGCUAAUACCUCAUAAGUCUUUACGGAGAAAGCUUUAUGCGCCAUUGGAUGAGCCUGCACUUGAUUAGUUUGUUGGUGGGGUAAUGGCCUACCAAGACAAUGAUCAAUAGCUGAUUUGAGAGGAUGAUCAGCCACAUUGGGACUGAGACACGGCCCAAACUUCUACGGAAGGCAGCAGUAGGGAAUCUUGCACAAUGGAGGAAACUCUGAUGCAGCGAUGCCGCGUGAGUGAAGAAGGCCUUUGGGUUGUAAAGCUCUUUCGUCGGGGAAGAAAAUGACUGUACCCGAAUAAGAAGGUCCGGCUAACUUCGUGCCAGCAGCCGCGGUAAUAC